CACGUAGGGCGCAAGCGUUGUCCGGAAUUAUUGGGCGUAAAGAGCUCGUAGGCGGUCUGUUGCGUCUGCUGUGAAAACCCGGGGCUUAACCCCUGGCUUGCAGUGGAUACGGACAGACUAGAGGUAGGUAGGGGAGAAUGGAAUUCCCGGUGUAGCGGUGAAAUGCGCAGAUAUCGGGAGGAACACCGGUGGCGAAGGCGGUUCUCUGGGCCUGACCUGACGCUGAGGAGCGAAAGCUGGGGAGCAAACAGG
rnacentral:rRNA from 1 species